CGAAGUCGUCGAGUCGAGGAGAAAGGACCAUUCGCUGAGAUGUCGCAGCAAGGCACGUUGUCGUCCCAAGAGACACCUCAGCGCAAGGCGGCCCCGCGCUUCAUCGAGGACGAAAAAAGUGUGCUGAUCGAUCUCGUGAGGCAAGUUAAGCACAUUAUCGAGUGUAAAAAACUGAUGUUGCGUCGGUGGCGAAAAAAAAUGAAACUUGGAAAGAAAUAGCCACGCGUUACAACGCCAACCACGGGAUUACCAGGCGCGACCACCUGCAGCUCAAGAAAUGCUGGAACAACCUCAAGCAGAAAUGGAAAGAGGAAGCUGCAAGAGAAAAGCGAGAGCGCCACAAAACUGGAGGAGGACCGGCACCUUCCGCCAUGGCCCCCAUCUACCAGUUGGUGGGGUCAAUUGCUGGCCACAUGGCAACAAGGGUGGAGAAUGCCUUUGAUUCAGAUGGCACUGCAUACCUGCCACCCGUCGCAAGUCUGCCUGUCGUAAGGCUACUGCAGCCAAUGAUGGAUGGCCGAAGUGAAGCGGACAUUGAUUGCCAAGAUGAACAGCGGGAUGCUGGCAGCCUUCCAGAUCCUUUCCAGCCACCAACAGGCACAGGUGCCGAUGAGGAGACUAGACCGCCUUCCGUAGCGCAGCCAGAGGCUGACGAAAACACCGCUGCGCCAAGCUGCACAAACAGCCCCCAAGUCACCACAGGUUCUGCAGGCUCUACUUCUGCGGCAACUGUCGCUGCUGAACCAUACAGGAAUCCAAGGGGUCGGAUGUCCGUCUUGGAGAAGACGCUGGCCGCCGAAAAUGAAGUCCGUGCGGAGCUACUUCGAGAGGAGCACCGAAUUCGCGUCCGCAUACUGCAGGAGGACCACGGCGACGAGUUCCUGGAACGGGCAAACAAGCGAAAAUUUGAAAAUGAAAUGCGAGAGCUCGAGCUGCUAAAACAAAAGAAUGAGCUUGAAAAACAAAAGCUUCAGAUUGAAGUGCUAGAAAUUGAAAAGGAGCUAAAAAAAGAACAGCUCCGCAGGCUGCAGUGUAAUGCACCCCCUCUUUAA